GACGAACGCUGGCGGCGUGCUUAACACAUGCAAGUCGAACGGUGAAGCUCCAGCUUGCUGGAGUGGAUCAGUGGCGAACGGGUGAGUAACACGUGAGCAACCUGCCCCUGACUCUGGAAUAAGCGCUGGAAACGGCGUCUAAUACUGGAUAUGAGAAGGGUCCGCAUGGACACUUUCUGGAAAGUUUUUCGGUUGGGGAUGGGCUCGCGGCCUAUCAGCUUGUUGGUGAGGUAAUGGCUCACCAAGGCGACGACGGGUAGCCGGCCUGAGAGGGCGACCGGCCACACUGGGACUGAGACACGGACCAGACUCCUACGGGAGGCAGCAGUGGGGAAUAUUGCACAAUGGGCGAAAGCCUGAUGCAGCGACGCCGCGUGAGGGAUGACGGCCUUCGGGUUGUAAACCUCUUUCAGCAGGGAAGAAGCGAAAGUGACGGUACCUGCAGAAGAAGCACCGGCUAACUACGUG
rnacentral:rRNA from 1 species